rnacentral:tRNA from 1 species
ACUUUUAAUGGACAACAGGAGUCCAA